UACGUAGGGUGCGAGCGUUGUCCGGAAUUAUUGGGCGUAAAGAGCUUGUAGGCGGUUUGUUGCGUCUGCCGUGAAAGCCCAGGGCUUAACCCUGGGUCUGCGGUGGGUACGGGCAGACUAGAGUGUGGUAGGGGAGACUGGAAUUCCUGGUGUAGCGGUGAAAUGCGUAGAGAUCGGGAGGAACACCAGUGGCGAAGGCGGCUACCUGGACCAGCACUGACACUGAAGCACGAAAGCGUGGGGAGCAAACGGG
rnacentral:rRNA from 1 species